rnacentral:rRNA from 1 species
UAAAAAGUUACUCAAGCGCGCACAAAGGAUGCCUUGACAUGUAAUACCGAAGAAGGACGUGAUGAGCUGCGAAAAGCUCCGGGGAACAGCCUAAUAUGUUUUGAUCCGGAGAUGUCCGAAUGGGGAAACCCGGUUGGAGUAAUGUCCAAUCACCGCUAUCUGAAUAUAUAGGAUAGUGCGUAGGUAACCGCCUGAACUGAAACAUCUUAGUAGGGCGAGGAAGAGAAAGUAAACAACGAUUCCGGUAGUAGUGGCGAGCGAAUCCGGAACAGCCCAAACCUUAUUUGCUUUAGGUAUAGGAUAAAACUUAUGGUCCCGCGGAUGGGAAUAGGUGGAUCGAGCAGAAAAUGCUCAGGUCGGUCCGGGACGAGACAGUAGGUUUUGUCUUAUAUCUAAUAAGUUGGUAGACGAAUGUAAAUACGGGGUUGUGACAUUGCAAACAUCCUUGUGUGGGAGUCCGCUUUGCGGGAGUCCACACGAGGCAGCUAGAUCUACCAGUGUCUAGCAUAAGGUCAGAAAUUGAUGAGGCGAGCAGAAGCAGUUGGAAAGCUGCGCCAUAGACGGUGAUAGCCCGGUACGCCAAGUUUCAUCAACCUUAUAUUUGCAAAGAGUUUACUGUGAAGCUUACGAAAUUUAUUUCAUAAGCUUAGAGUAAAUUCGGUUGUCGAGUAAGUCGGGACACGUGAAACCCUGACUGAAUCUGGGGGGUCCACCCUCCAAGGCUAAAUAUAUUACAUGAUCGAUAGAGAACAAGUACCGUGAGGGAAAGGUUAAAAGAACCCCGGAAGGGGAGUGAAAUAGAACCUGAAAUUGUGUGCGUACAAGGA